AAGGGAUAAAGUAUGAAAUUAUACCUAAAACUGGUAUCAUGUCACCUGCUUUUCAGACAGACUGAAGCUUCUAUUCAGAAACCAGCUGUCAGCUAAUUAGUUUGCUAAGCUUGCCCCAUUUUUCAUCGCUGCUUGACCUCAUUCACCCCCUAGUCUCACUCCUAAAGCUGUCUUACUUAGAGCAAAAUUUCUCAAAAAAUCCAUACUACCAGAGGGUGGGAGCAUACUCCCUGAGGAGAGAUUCUUAACAGUUAAAAAAUCUUGCAAAACCUAUGAAUAAGCUUAUAACACGUUUACAACUGUUGACUUUUCAAAGGUUAAUAGACAAUCCAAACACGAGGUAAACCUGGACCAAAGGACACACUUUGCCAGAUGGGCGAAAGCAACCUACAUUUUCCUUGGUCCCACUGCCACGACUGAUGACAGAUUUUCCUGCAGAACUCCAGGCAGGCUAGCAUUAAAACAAGAAAAAGCAGUCCAUCCAAACAUUUGUAGUGGCUGA
rnacentral:lncRNA from 1 species